CGAAGCGCUCGCUCCCCACAGCGUCCGCGCUUCUCGGCCGCGUCCGUGCGGCGACGCCUCCGCUGCUCGCGGCUUCACGCCGUGCCGCGCCGCGCCGCGCCGCGCCGCGCCGCCGCCGCCCCUGCGGAAGAGCCGCUCUGCCCAGAGCGUUCCCUCAGCCCCGCCCUGCGCCGGCUCUUUGGGGCGUUCUUGGCGCUUCACGCGCCGCUUGUUUUUUAAAUGUCUCCGAGGAGUCUCUGGACGCGCGGGAUGGUGACGGCGCUCGCGUGUCUGAGGGGCGUCUCGGUGGGGCCGUGGUUAUGGAUACCUGAAACAGCAUGCUCCUAGAACUCCAUCGGGAAAUCUGAGCUGGCCUAAAGGUAACGGUCAAGUGGCAAAGGCCGGUACUGCUACAGAUGGCGAUAAAAAGAAAUACAGAACGCCAGCCUCUGGGGAUGCAGGUGCUGCUGAGAAACCCGGGUGGAACUGAAUGUUCUUGGAAUCCCCUGAAGAAUACAGAAAUUGUUAUCUAUUUUUACUCUGCAAUCACAUCUUCAACUGGUUUCAGAAUACAGAAAGUGAUUUUUGAGCACCUGAUUGCCACACAGAACAUUGAUAGCUAGAAUCAGAUGGCAAGCUAGUGAGACGUUCUGGCAAGCACCACAGUCCUGGAUCUGGGAUUGAAUCUCUGCUGUCCUGCAUGCACUCUCAAUGAAAAAGGAAUUCCAAGGAACACAAAUGGAACUUAAAAAUCUAGUCACUGAAACAGUGAUGUUAACCAUUCCUUAGAUACAUAGCCCUGAAAGUUACCAGUGUUCAAGGGGCUGAAAAUUUCAUCAUAGCACUGACAGUAAGGAUCAAAAAGGAUCAGACCUACAAAAAUCACCUGUAUGAAUGUAUCCUUUGAAACUUCUGCUUGUUCUUGAAAGCAAAUCUCUGCAGAAUUGAACAGGCUGUGAAGUAUGGUGGAAGCUGCUUAUUCAGGGCCUGCUCUUUACGUCUAUGUACUGUACUCAUGGACCUUACAGGCUGAGCAAAGGCAUCAGCUGAAGGCCCCAGCAUUAAAGGCCUUAUUUGCAUAUGGCUGUGCUGUGCACGUGGCAAGACUGCAGGCCGACUGUCAUCUUCAGGCACGACACUGAGAGGCUGAAACACCCAGGCCGCCACAGCGCCACAGCACGUGCUGCAGGCACAUCCCCAAAGCCUUUCUGAAGUGUCAGCGGUUUGUCUCAGUUUGGAGCUGGAAGGUGGCUGGUGCUUGGCCCUCUGCUGAGACACUGGCUCCAUGGACCUGAAGCAGGGUUAGCUCUGUCAAGACAAGAUCCCCAUGCCCAGCAAGGGCUGUGGCUGUUGGCUGCUUUGUGCACAGGGCAUGGAUGCUAAGGCCUUAACGGCUGGAACUACUGCACCUUCCAGAUCAAAACUGCUCUUCUCUGAGCUCCUAGAUGAAGGCAGCAGUAGCUGGAUGGAGCAGUCUCUCUGCAGAGAGUUCUUAAUCAUCUGAGCCAGAAAAUCACAGAAGGCCUCUGAGUGCAGCUGGAAUGGCUGCUUCACCUUUGCAUGCUGCUGACGUUCAAAGGGAUUAUUUCUUCUUGGGCUCACAUUUCCUUGGGUUUAGAUCCCAAUCUGUUCACUGCAUCUUCUUAUGAGUGUUAGGAUUAUGAAUUCUUAUGUUUUUCAGACUGCCAUGACCAAUGGUUAGGAAAAGGCUGCCCCCACAGGAGUUGAUGCCAAAAUUGCCUCAGUAGCUUCAGAACACAGAACUUUCUUAGAGUAAAAAACAGUUUUAGCAUCAGACUUUGUGGUAUGUGGCUCUGAGCCAUUUGAGAUUGUAUCCUUAGCUUCUUUAAGAAUUCUGGCUUUCGAAAUAUUAGCCUAAGUAGUUCUGAGUAAUAUUUCGGGAAAGUAUUAUAUUGGCUUUACCUAGUCUAAGUUGAGCAUUAGUAACAAAACUCCAGUUAAAUACCCAAUGAAAACAAAGCCAUUCUCAAAAGACUGUAGCUGUUUAAAAACAACAUCCACUUUGGCUAUAGUAAAGGUUCCCUUAUUUCAAAAGGAAAGGAUUAAAGAGAUUAUUUUUUUUAACAAACCAAACUAAACAUAGUUUGACAAUGAAGAAAAACUGUUUAGCUGUGAUCUCUUCUGAACAGUAAGCUUCAUUCAGUGCAACAAAAUGGGAGCAUGCAGCUGCCUAUUAAGGACUCCAAGGUUUACAUCCUGGGUUUCUCAGUGUUGUGACAAAAGGUGAAUUGGUCCCAGUACCUGCUACUUGAGCAAGAGCCCCAGACUACAAGCACACUGCUGUUUUUAACACUGAAUCCAGCAGCAUGACUUAUGCUUUCCAAAGAUAAGAUGAGAACAUGGAGCUGAGACAAAAAUAUGGAUGAGGAUGUGUCUAUCUUGUCUUGUAUCUCAAGAACAGGAAGAUUUUCACUGUAUCUGAACAUACACAUGGAUAUGGAGCUCAGUGACAUGGGAAGCUCUUCUUAUCCAGAUUUUAACAAGAUACUUUGUGAAAGACAUUCCUAUAAAUAGUGGGUAGCAUGUGAUUUAAUGUGGAUUGAGAAAGAUAUGAUGACUUCUCCAUCUCUUAAUGCAGAGCUUCUGUACUUCCUUCAAAACAAGUACUGCUGACCACUGGGAUAUAUGGAGACAAGACCCAGGGUAAUAACUUCUGAGAUUUUACUGUACUAAAAGAGACUCUGACAGUGUGCCUGAGCCUUUUUUUAAGCAAGAAUAUAUCCAAUUACAUUAGUCUGUAGCUUUUGCUUGUGUUUGCCAUAACUAUUAAGGUGGCAUUACAGUGCAUUUGCUAUAUGUUUAACUUUCAUACGUUGCUUACUCAAGGAAGUGUUAACUUCUUGGAAACCAAUAGAUGUGUGGUGCAUGUGUGUGCAGGUCUCUGUAUGUAUGUGACUGCACUCACAUGUACAUAAAGUGAGUAGCACAUGGAGACCUGCUGUCUCAUUUCACCUCAUUUUAGUAUCACAUAAGAGGACACAGGUACAUAGGUGCCUAUCUCCAGCUUAUGUAGACUGAUAGGAGAGUUCUUAAGUUUUCAUCUCUGCUUAUAAAUGAAAUUGGUCAAAUCACUGUGGUUUAAGAUAGAAAAACACGACAAAAGCUGCUCAGCUGAAUGAUUUUUGGCACAAUAUGAAGAAAAAAAUAGAUUCUGGUUUCUCUUUCAAAUAAGUGCUGUGCUCUGCAGAGCAAAGAUCAAGCCAAAGUUCACGUUAUCAGCUCCCGUACCUCACCUGGGGCUCUGUUAUUGAUAGGUCUGUCAUCUUCUCUAAUAUUGGAGGGGUAAUAGCAGCCGAUGAUUAGGCCACUCUCAAGCUAUUAACUACAUUUCUUAUCCCUUUUAUAAGAGCUUCUUAGUCAGCUGGGAAACAAAGGCUGCCUUCAGCGAACAAGAGCCCAGAUUGUGGGCCUGCAUCCUGCAACCUGAAAGACACAACUGUUGCACUUAGAGGAGCCUCCAAAGGCAGAGAGGGGGUAGAUGUCAAAGGUUACCCCGUGGUGUUAUCUGAAAUGAGCGGGCUCUGACUGCCUCUUGUGCUGACAGAAGCUAGCAGAGAAAUUACAGAAAAUUGCCUAUUUUGUCAACAUUUUCUCGGGAGGUUUAGGAAAAAAAAAGGACUCUGGUUUCAGAGAGUUAAAGGGGCUCAGUCAGCCUAGAAGUGACUGACAAACACUCUAUUAUUCAUCUAUGUGAAAAAGUGGUAUUUUAUAUCAUUUCUUUGAGUGAUUGUUAAGUGACUGGGUAGUGACGUUGACAAGUAAGAUAAUCCCAGUAAUAUUUCCAGUUCUUGUUUGAAGGAAGACUUGCACAUUUGUCAGUGUUGACAAUAGGUAUACAAAAAGCAGCGGUGGUGAAGAGCCAGCUCCCAGUAUAAACUCAAAACACUGGGAGGGAUCUGCACACUCAGAUCUUAGCACGGAGUGGAUUGGAAAUGGGCUAUACAGUAGUGGAAAAAACAAGCGUGCAGCCUCUUAACCAAUCAUUUCACCUUGGGUAAAACUACUCAUAUGACCAAGAUGACUUCUGCCACAUUGCAGAAACUUUUGAGAUUUAUUUUUGGGAAGAAAGGUGUGUUUAUGAGAGUAAAAUUCUAGCUAAUCUGCCUUAUCAUAAGUAGUCAUGUUACAAUUUAUAACUUAUGCCUGGCAUUCUACUGAAAUGGCCCUGUCAUGCCUUCCAGCAUAUAUUCAGCACUCAGGGUAGCUGUUGACAUAUACAAAUGAAUAUCUAUCAUAUUGCAGACAUUGCUAGGUAGUGCCUCAGCCCUGUUCCUGUGACAGAGGCUUGGAGCUGAGAUGCUUCCCUUCAACCUUUUGCAUUACAAGGAGCAGAUGUUAGAGGUGACUUUAUGAGGCCCAUGAAGGCUAUUUACACCUUAGCUGAAUUGAUAUCUCUUAGCUACAGCUCAUAAAACCAUCAAUAACUUGUUGGAUUUGUAGUGUCACUGGUGGUCAGUAGACGUUGUCAGAUUGCCAGAGAAAAUGUUACAGAGCAACUGAACUAAAAAGACAAUUUAGAAGAAAUACACAUGAACUUCCUAAGGGACACUAUCUGUGAUCAAGUAUGAAUUUUAUAAUAAAUGUGGCUCUGAAAUAUUGUAUUGAAGUACUUUUUAAGAAAAUACAACUUUACUUUGGUGAUAAAGUGCUUUUGGCAUUGUUGCUGCUGGUGCUAGAAGGCUUGCAGUGAUGAAAGUAGAUGCAAAAGCACAACAGAUAUUGUUUAGACCAGGAUUGGACUCUUGGAGUACUCAGCAGGUGCUAGUGGCAUUUGAGUAAGUCUGCAGAGUCAGCACAAAGUAAAAUCUCAGGAAGUGCAGACAGUAAGGAUGUAGGAUGCUUGGGUGCUCUCAGACUUACAGAGGUGUUAGAACAUAUUUUGGGUGCUGGCAAGGGGAACAGAUGGUUUGGGAGAACAAUUUAUGUAGAGAAAGUGGAGCCCUUGGCCAAAUAAAAGUGGUAAAUAAAAGUAAGGUGAACAAGCUAAACCCUGUUAUAAUUGCAUUACACAGAUCCAAGCUCUAGGGCUCCUCAUUCUUAAAAUGGUACCAUACAAUUAUCAGCGAGUCCGGAGGUAGGCAACAAAAAGGGUUCAAUUUUACUAUAAAUAACUUGGUUUUGUUGAGAGAAGAGGUGAAAAACAGAGAAUGUAAUAAUGAGAAGUCAAAAAAGUCCACAGAAAAUCAUGAUCCCACAGUUAUCCUUUCUCAUAAGAUAAGAACAGCUACUGAGGACAGAAAAGGCUUUUCUCUGUGGUCAUCCCAUGAAAUUCGUGGGGUGCUUAGCAGAUACUUACUAGAUAACAGCCAGGGUUUCUUUCAUAUCUUUUUACUAGGACAAGGACUAAGCAGUAUGUCUAGAAAGAAACUGGUGCUGCAAAGGAAAGUCAGAUGAGAUAGAGAGUGUCUGACUGCCAGGAUCAUGUGGAAGAGGUUUUUCCUCACCUUGCUACUCAUCAACAAUUUUAAUUUCUCUCUUCUGUUGUCCUCAUAUGUGGCUACUUGAAGAAGGCCUGUGUACCCAGAAGCUUGUCUGACCCUGUUGUAUCAGCUGAUACAACAUAAAAUAUAAUCUUGCUGUGUAAAUCUUGUCUUUGCUUUCACUCU